rnacentral:lncRNA from 1 species
UUGUAAAGUCCUCGGUGCAGCUUCGUACGCCGUCUCAACGUGCUUCUUCCCCUCCUGCAGCUCCACCUCCUGCUACUGCUACUUCUUCCCGUCCUUCAAUAGAUAUUUCUGAGGAAGAUAUUUCCGUUUCAUCGGUUUAUCGUGAGCAGCAACGUCUAUCAGAGGAGCUUCAGAAGUUGUCUGCAGAACAAGCUGUGAUUCGUAAGGAUGUGAGCAAGAUGAAGCGCUUGUUGAAUAUGAUUUUUGACAAAUUAGGAUGUUGUCGGGCGGAUUUACCUCCAGGAGAUGAUUCUGACUAGGAUUUACCGGGCUUCUCGUUUUGUCGUUUUGGCGCUUUCUGACAAAAAGGGGGAGAUGAUGGGAUGGUCUCUUAAUGAUGAUGAUGAUG